rnacentral:lncRNA from 1 species
UUUGGGGAAAGUCAAGGAAAAUAGAAACAGAAUACCCCAUAAUGCUUUAUUUGGAGGCCAGAAGUCACAUACUAAGGCUUGUGUUUUGUGUUUGAUUCUGUCAAGAGAGCUUAAAAGGUGGAGACAGCCUUUGGGGGGAAUGAAGGUCUGGAUGGUAUCAGCCUGGCUUGCAAGCGUCGCUGUGGCUCAUGAAAACAUAUGUCUUGAAAGGUUGUCCUGCUCAUAGUUCCGAGCAAAUGUGAGAAACAACAGAGGCUUCCAACAAAUACCUGCUAAAGAAUGAGGAAAUGGACACAGGCAAAUAGGCAAAUGGAGUCUCCUUAACGGAAUCGUAAGGCUGUCUGGAGAAAGCAAGAGGAACUACCAUUUGUGAUAGACGAAGACAGAUUUGCAGGUGGAGGGAGUGACAAGACCUGAUUUGUUUUCUGCACAUAAUGAGUAAUCCUUCAGACACAGAGAUCCUCAUCUGCAGCACGAGAGAAAAGGUAAACCAAGUCCCCAGGCUCAGCACCCAUGGAAAGGAGCAGAGGGAGAGAGUCCUCUGAGUUGGCACACGAGUUCUGCACCGGGCUGUCCUUUGAUAUGACAGCUCUCUUCUGUGGUGGGGCCACCUAAGAAGUGCUUGGGAAAAUAUCUUGAUAGGAGAACUAGACGGAAACAUGCUUUCAGAGAAGGGAUGUGUCUUGUUGCUUAUUGUGGUUUUUCAAUACAUGAGCCUAGUUUACAUAGCAGGGGCCCAAAUGCAGCUCUGUAUAAUAUUGUCAUACUUCAGCUAUGUGCGUGUUUAUCAUUUCUUUACCAACAACAGCUGGAGAAAAUGGCUGAGAUUGGAGAGGAGGGAGCAGAGGUAGAGAGGAAGUCAAAACCUUGGAAUGGAUGACAUACCACUUCCCCAAUGAAUGAAGCUGCAGAUUCAGCCACAUGUAGUUGAUGUCGCCAUGUCAAGACUGCAUUUUUCCUUCCAAACACAGAAGUAUGGGGUAAACUUAAUGCAGGACUAUGAAGAUGAAGCCAUUGAGGCCCAAGACUUUAUCUUGAUUUCUUCAAUUCCUUGGAUAUGUUUACUCCCUCCCCACACUGGGCCCUUGUAGCUGCUUAGACUGAACCUACUGGCCCUUCUCUUGCUGGAAAGUUGCCCUCCAAGAAGUGCAAGAGCUCAGAUUGCACCUGCUAACUGUUAAGACCAGACUUGGCCAGGCUACCAGAUCUUUCUGCAACAAGGCCAGCUUCACACUGCCUGAGCAGACCUUUCUGUUCUGCCAAAGGCAGCUGAAGCAGGGAAAAUGGAUCAGCAAAGGGAUCUGGGCCAGGCGCAGUGGCUCAUUUCUCUAACCUCAGCACUUUGAGAGGCCAAGGUGGGAGGAUCACUUGAGGCCAGGAGUUCAAGACCAGCCUGGGCAACAAAAUGAGACCGCAUUUCUACAAAACAAUAAGGUUAAAAAAAAUUAAUCAGGUGUGGUGGCAACUGUGGUGCCAACUCUUGAGACACUAAAUCGGGAGGAUCACUUGAGCCCAGGAGAUGGAGGCUGGAGUGAGCUAUGAUAGCACCACUGUAUUCCAGCCUGGAAGAUAGAGUGAGACCCUGUCUCAAAAAAAGUAAAUAAAGGAAUCUGAACUUGAAGAAUGGGCCAAAAAAGAGUGAUACUUGACUGCGGUUCCUCUUUGCCUGUGCCGUCACCUGGGAUUGGAAUUCUGCAUUUCCCACCCCCAAUUC